GGAGUCUAGCAUGCGCGCGAGUCAUUGGGACACGACUAAACCUAAAGGCGCAAUGAAAGUGAACGUCCGCCUCGCGCGGACGUAGGGAGGAUGGGCGGCCGUUACGGCAGCCGCUCCGCACUCCCGGGGCGUCUCGUUCUCAUCGCGAGAGGAGGCGCACCAAGAGCGUACACGCUGGGACCCGAAAGAUGGUGAACUAUGCCUGGUCAGGACGAAGUCAGGGGAAACCCUGAUGGAGGUCCGUAGCGAUUCUGACGUGCAAAUCGAUCGUCGGAACUGGGUAUAGGGGCGAAAGACUAAUCGAACCAUCUAGUAGCUGGUUCCUUCCGAAGUUUCCCUCAGGAUAGCUGACGCUCGUUGUUUACGAGUUUCAUCCGGUAAAGCGAAUGAUUAGAGGCAUUGGGGUCGAAACGGCCUCAACCUAUUCUCAAACUUUAAAUGGGUGAGAUCUCCGGCUUGCUCGAACUACGUAUGAAGCCGCGAGACUCGAAUCAGAGUGCCAAGUGGGCCAUUUUUGGUAAGCAGAACUGGCGCUGUGGGAUGAACCAAACGCAGAGUUAAAGCGCCUAAAUCGACGCUUAUGGGAUACCAUGAAAGGCGUUGGUAACUUAAGACAUCAGGACGGUGGCCAUGGAAGUC
rnacentral:rRNA from 1 species